rnacentral:rRNA from 1 species
AAGAGGUAGUGAAUUCUGAGUGUAGCAGUGAAAUCGUAGAUAUCAGAGGAACAUCAGUGCGAAGGCGGCAUCACUGGUCCAUACUGACAGCUGAGCUACGAAGCGUGGGAGCAAACAGGAUUAGAUACCGUGGUAGUCACGCCGUAAACGAUGAGAUGUUAGAUGUCGGGUCAGUACUACUGCUUCGGAGUAUGCAGCUAACGCAUUAAACAUUCCCGCGCUGGGGAGAGCGCGUCGCACAGAGUAUAAAUCUAAAGGAAUAUAGAGGGGGGCCCGCACACAGCGCGUGGAGCAUGUGUGUUUUUAUUUGAAGCAACGCGCGAGAAAACUUUACAGCUCUUGACAUUCGGGGUAUGGGCAUUGGAGACGAUGUCGUUCCUUUUAGGCUGGCCCCAGAACAGGUGCUGCAUGGCUGUCGUCAGCUCGUGUGAGAAGAUGGUGGGUUAAGUCCCGCAACGAGCGCAACCCUCGCCAUUAGUCACCAGCAAUUAGUUGGACAUUUUAAGGGGCCUCCGGGGGAUAACCGGAGAGGAAGGGGGGGAUGAUCUCAUGUUCUCAUGCCCCUUGCGCAGGGGGCCACACACGUGCCACAAGGGGGGUCACAGGGGGCAGAGAGCCAGAGAGGUAGACCUUAUCUCCAAAACCCAUUCCAUUUGGGAUGGAGUUCUCCACUUGGAUCCCAGAAAUUGGGAAUCGCUAGUAAUCGCAGAUCAGCAUGCUGCGGUGAAUACGUUCCCGGGCCUUGUACACACCGCCCGUCACACCAUGGGAGUGGUUGCACCAGAAGGUAGGGAGCUAACCGCAAGGAGGCAGCUAACCACGGUAGGGUCAGCGACUGGGGUGAAGUCGUAACAAGGUAGCCGUA